rnacentral:rRNA from 1 species
UAUCCUGUCUGAAUAUGGGGGGACCAUCCUCCAAGGCUAAAUACUCCUGACUGACCGAUAGUGAACCAGUACCGUGAGGGAAAGGCGAAAAGAACCCCGGCGAGGGGAGUGAAAAAGAACCUGAAACCGUGUACGUACAAGCAGUGGGAGCCUCUUUAUGGGGUGACUGCGUACCUUUUGUAUAAUGGGUCAGCGACUUAUAUUCUGUAGCAAGGUUAACCGAAUAGGGGAGCCGAAGGGAAACCGAGUCUUAACUGGGCGUUAAGUUGCAGGGUAUAGACCCGAAACCCGGUGAUCUAGCCAUGGGCAGGUUGAAGGUUGGGUAACACUAACUGGAGGACCGAACCGACUAAUGUUGAAAAAUUAGCGGAUGACUUGUGGCUGGGGGUGAAAGGCCAAUCAAACCGGGAGAUAGCUGGUUCUCCCCGAAAGCUAUUUAGGUAGCGCCUCGUGAAUUCAUCUCCGGGGGUAGAGCACUGUUUCGGCAAGGGGGUCAUCCCGACUUACCAACCCGAUGCAAACUGCGAAUACCGGAGAAUGUUAUCACGGGAGACACACGGCGGGUGCUAACGUCCGUCGUGAAGAGGGAAACAACCCAGACCGCCAGCUAAGGUCCCAAAGUCAUGGUUAAGUGGGAAACGAUGUGGGAAGGCCCAGACAGCCAGGAUGUUGGCUUAGAAGCAGCCAUCAUUUAAAGAAAGCGUAAUAGCUCACUGGUCGAGUCGGCCUGCGCGGAAGAUGUAACGGGGCUAAACCAUGCACCGAAGCUGCGGCAGCGACACUAUGUGUUGUUGGGUAGGGGAGCGUUCUGUAAGCCUGUGAAGGUGUGCUGUGAGG